ACUACGCCUCCUUACUGAGGUAUAAAUUAAUUACAUAAAUUAAUUGGGAAGCUGGUGUAAUUCCAGCGCUGCCCCCGCAACGGUAAGCAGACGACUCUGUCGUAUGGAACAGGCCACUGUGUAUUCAUGGGAAGGCCCCCUAACUGAAAUUUUUCAGUCUGCAAGCCCGAAGACCGACCUUAAGUAACUCUAUGAC
rnacentral:ncRNA from 2 species